rnacentral:rRNA from 1 species
AUGGCGGGGGAGGGCGUCGGGCGGUGCAUACUGGUGGGGCUGCACAUGGACGCCGUCGGCAAGGAGCUGCUGCAGUGGGCGCUCAACCAGGCGGCCAGGAGCGGCGACCGCGUCGUCGCCGUCCACAUUUACCGCAAAUCCGGAGACCUGUGCAAGACGAACGCGCUGACGCUGAUCAGGACGCUGGACGACUACCUGGCGGAGUACGAGGCCAUCUGCAGCAAGAAAGACAUCGUCCUCGUGGGGCGGGUGACGCCGGGGAGCUCGAUCCAGAAGGUGCUGGUGAAGGAGGCAAAGCUCUGCGCGGCCAUGGCGGUGGUGAUUGGCGCCAACAAGAAGUACUCCUUCGGUGGCUCGACCGGCCUCGCCAAGUACUGCGCCAGGAAGCUCCCGCCGACGACCAGCGUCGUCGCCAUCCAGGGCGGCAAGGCCAUCUUCGUCAGGGAGGCCCCCCGGCCGCCACUUGGAGCAGAGCCCAAGCCGGUGCUCCGCACGCUGCUGCACCCCAGCGUCGGGAUGGAGCCCAAGGUGAUCAUCCCCAACCCCAACCGCCGGAGCGCGCGGUCCAUGGACUUCGACGCCGCGGGCUGCGGCCAGUGCGCCGCGCCGCCGCAGCCCAAGAAGCCCUGCGACGACGACGACGCUGCCGUCGCCAAGGCCGUCGUCGUGCGCGUGCCGGCGCCCGAGCAGAAGCUCGGCUGGCCUUUGCUCCGGCGCGCGCCUCCCGGAGCGCAGGCCGCCAAGGGUGACCACGAGACGACGCGCAAGCAGUCGGUGGUGCACUGGGUGAUGAGCCUGCCGCGGCGCUCCUCGCCGUCGGCGUCCCCGGAGCCGGCGCAGGAGGGGCUGGCGGCCGACCUGAGGCGGACGCUGGGCGGCGCGCCGUCCCGGUGCCGGUGGUUCCGGUACGAGGAGCUCUACGACGCCACCAACCACUUCUCCCCGGGCAACCUGGUGGGCAAGGGCGCGCACAGCCGGGUGUACCGGGGCGGCCUGGCGAGCGGGCAGCGGGUGGCGAUCAAGCUGUGCCGCGCGUCGGCGGAGGCGUCCAAGGACUUCCUCCGGGAGGUGGACAUCAUCACCAAGCUGCAGCACGGCCGCAUCGUGCCGCUCGUGGGCGUCUGCGUCGAAGGCCCCAACCUCAUCUCCGUCUACCGCUACCUCCCCCGCGGCAGCCUCGAGGACAACCUGCACGGGAAGAGGUCGAAGCCGGCGCUGCCGUGGGAGAAGAGGUACCGGACGGCGGUCGGGGUCGCCGAGGCUCUGAGCUACGUGCACUCCGGCUGCUCGCGGCCGGUGAUCCACCGCGACGUCAAGUCCUCCAACAUCCUCCUCACGGAGGACUUCGAGCCCCAGUUGUCCGAUUUCGGGCUCGCAAUCUGGGCGCCGUCCAGCCCGUCGUCCGUGACGCACAGCGACGUCGUCGGCACGUUCGGGUACCUUGCGCCGGAGUACUUCAUGUACGGGAAGGUGACGGACAAGGUGGACGUGUACGCGUUCGGGGUGGUGCUGCUGGAGCUCCUCACCGGGCGGAGGCCCAUCACCGGCGACGGCUCACCAAAGGGCCACCACCAGAGUCUCGUCAUGUGGGCGACUCCGAUCCUCAACGGCGGCGACAUCUCCGACCUGCUGGACCCGAGCCUGGACUUGAAGCACGACGAGGUGGAGGUGCGGCGGAUGGCCGUCGCGGCGUCGCUCUGCCUGGGGCGAUCGGCGCGCCUCAGGCCCCCGAUAUCGCAGAUACUGAGCAUACUGCGGGGAGAAGAGGACGCGACGAGCCUGGCGGCCUCGGAGCCGGACUGCGUUGUGGACGACGAGACCUACCCGGCGGCCAACGUGAGGUCGCACCUAGGCCUGGCGCUGCUGGACGUGGAGGACGCCGAGUCCAUCUCCAGCACCGAGCACACCAACCUCAGCCCGCUCGAGGAGUACCUCAGACAACGCUGCAGCCGAUCCUCCAGCUUCGAUUGA